rnacentral:rRNA from 1 species
GCUUUAUAAGUUUAAGAAUUUUGUAUAUUUUUCGAUAGUAAUGAUUUUCUGAAAAUUUAUUUGGUUGGGGCGACAAUAGUAUAAUUAGAAUAACUGCUUUAAAAUAAAACAGAAAUAUUUGAGAAUAAUUAGUUGAUCCUUCGUAGAGAUUUUAAGAUCAAGUU